GAUGAACGCUGGCGGCGUGCCUAAUACAUGCAAGUAGAACGCUGAAGGAGGAGCUUGCUCUUCUGGAUGAGUUGCGAACGGGUGAGUAACGCGUAGGUAACCUGCCUGGUAGCGGGGGAUAACUAUUGGAAACGAUAGCUAAUACCGCAUGACAACAGUUAUUGCAUGAUAACUGUUUAAAAGGGGCAACUGCUCCACUACCAGAUGGACCUGCGUUGUAUUAGGUAGUUGGUGAGGUAACGGCUCACCAAGGCGACGAUACAGAGUCGAACGGAGAGGGGGGUCGGCCGCCCUGGGAGGGAGACACGGCCCAGAGUCCUACGGGAAGGAGCAAGAGGGAAACUUCGGGAAUGGGCGGAAAUCUGACCGAGCAACGCCGCGGGAGUGAAGAAGGUUUUCGGGUCGUGAAGCUCUGUUGUAAGGGAAGAACGAGUGUGAGAGUGGAAAGUUCACACUGUGACGGUAUCUUACCAGAAAGGGACGGCUAACUACGUG
rnacentral:rRNA from 1 species